CACCAGUUUACCCAUGGCAUUCAACAGGGAAUUCUCAUCUGCAAGACAGAUGCCAAAUGUCUUUUGCUAAAGAAAAUUUUCAUUUUCAUUUAUAUUCACAAGGUCUCUGUGAAGAGAGAGAUGUUUCUUAAAUCUCUGGGCAAGCAGUUGGCAGGAGUAGCAGUUAGAGGGAAUGAAUCGUCUACGUUGGCUGUUCAUCUUUAAAAAUUGACUCUUCAGUAGCAUGUGACAAGAGCUGGAAAAUACUUCUGCAUCUGGUUUUCUUUGGGAGGAAAGACUUUGUGAAGUG